CUGUUAUAAGGUUAAUAUUAUCCUACAUUUAAGCUGUAUGCCUGUUGUUUUUAGGACUAUGGGGUGAACUGGGAACUACAGGACGUAAAGGCAGAGCUAAUUUCCGUUUACGGCAAGUGCGAGAGUGGGAAGAUCUUGAUUGAUGAAAUUGAUUGGCAUGCAGCGCUCGCUGCAGUACACAUCAAUCACCAAAACUCUGUUUUGGCUCAUCGCUGCAGCUGGUUGACCCAGAAUGCUGAUAUCAUUAAGGACUUAACAGAGGAAAAUGUGUGGCAGAAUGAUUUAACGAAAGAAAGUGUUAAAUGCAUGAGUCUACGCGCAGACAUAGAGUUAUUUGCUCUUAUCGCCUUCGACAAGGAUGAAGACCCAGAAAGCAGCGAUUUUCUAGAAAGAAGCAAAUGCCUGCUUGAUGACUGCCCGAAAGACUUUGAUGAAAACCCGGACGAAGUUUAAGAACGAAAAUAGGCUGGACACUCGAACAGCUUCUCCACAAACAGUGAUGCACAACAAAAUCUUUGAAGACCUUUGUAAUAAGUUUAUAAUAGCCAUUGAAAUAUGUAUUUAAUCGUUGAAAAUUACAAUUAAAACUUGCAUUUCAUCUUGAAUAAACAAUG